CCUCCGCUGCUUAAGUGGUGUGUUGCAUGUGUGAAUCAACUGUCCACCAUAGAGCGUUUUGGGACGACAGCCCCACCAACUCGAUGCUAGCAGCAGAGGAUUAAGAGACAUCACAGCCGGCAGCAGCCACACGAGCUGCCUCUAAUGCAACCGCAGAGGGACUAAGCCACGCUGAACCCAAGAGUGAAGCAUCCCAGCCGGAGAUGGCGGCGGUUAGAAUAAGGCACACUGGGUAAAAACACAUUUAUAUACGAACCUCGCCGAGAAAUUUUCCAACAAUUCCUCCGUCCGACCACCAUGCACCAGGACAGGAAACGGCCGUCUCAGCUCCCGCCCGCCUAUCCCAGCACCGCCCAGAGCCCUGCGGGCGGGCCCCGCAACCAGCACCUGCAUAUGGCUCCAUUGGGUAGCCUGCGACACGAAAUACCGCCCACGGCUUCUAUUGGGCCGCUGAAGUCCAAAUGCCACUAUGUAUUGGCUAUUGACUGAUAGACCCGCCUUCACACCACAUCGAUUCUCCUCUAUGCUGUAUUCGGGGCCUGUGUAGACGCCAUUUUGUAUCACGUCGAACGAGGCACUAGUACGUCAGUGAGGGGAAGAGAGAUAGACGCCAUUUUCUCCUUUUGUUACCAAAGCUGGAGGAUGUGAUGCUAGAAAGAAUAUCGUAUUGCUUUUGGAACUGUACUCGGUGGUAGUAGUUUUCAGUGGAAUUCCCAUGAAAACACAAGAUUCUAAAAUGGGGGAAGCGAGUGGGGAGAUAAAACCCCGCGGGAGUUACCGCUACAUUAAGAGUGACCGACAUUGUCGUUUGCCCUGAGACUCGGAUUCAACCUUUCACCUGCGUGGUAGUAGUGGGGAUGACAGGUCUUAUUCCACCACGAGAAAGGCGAUGGUCCAGCCACGGGAAAGGUUUUUAAUUAGGAUUCCGCUAUCUUAAGACCAGAAAGUCCUAUCCUCCACCCCCACCCUCCUUAAAAAAGUUUUUGUAAGAUGGACAUCUCAUAGGUAGUCGCGAUGAUGUUAGUUUUUUAUCAUUCGCUGGAACUAUUUUAUCCAUAUGCAAAAGCUUCAGAUGGCCUGUCUAAUAAUAAUAGUAAAAUAACAAUAGGCAUCCGCUUUCUAAGAUACAGCGGAAUCCUGUAAUAUUAAACAACUUGUCCGUUUCCCCCCAGGAUUUGUCCUGGAUAAUUCCGUUGUUUUUAAAAAAUCUCUUGUGUCCUAGCCAAGCAUGUCCGUUUUCUUUAUAGGGGAAGAUACCUGUGACUAAAUUCAAAAGAAAGGGCUCUUGUAACUUCACAAUUAAAAAAGGGAGGCAGUUUUCCACAGUUGCAUUUCUAUCAUACCACAGUCAUCAAAUUAAGAAAAGUUGCAAAAGUGGACAUUCCAUUUUCAUAAUUAUAUUUAUAUCUCACCUUUUCUGAAGAGUUUAGGCCAGCAUCAAUGGCUCCCUCUCACCCUUUCUCCAUUAAGGUUAAGCUAAGAAACCUUCAUGGCUGAUUGAGAAUUUGAACGUGGGUCUUCCUGGCCUCUGUCUGAUCUCAAUAGCCUGUCACAAUCUAGACAUCUUUCUUACUUAAAGUUAUUGUACAUUUAAGAAUUUCUUUGGUACCUGUCUAGUAAUUAAUCCAGAUCAUUUAGUUCUUUGAGUGUAUAAUUUACCUUCUGUCCUAACUGCACGUUGACCUGAUUUUCUGGUGCAAAUUUAUUUGAAGGGUGUUCUACUCUAUCCUUUAAUAAAAUUCCAAGUGCCGCUUGCAAAAGAAA